rnacentral:rRNA from 1 species
AAUAGAUACCCGGUAGUCCACGCCGUAAACGAUGAAUGCUAGGUGUUAGGGGUUUCGAUACCCUUGGUGCCGAAGUUAACACAUUAAGCAUUCCGCCUGGGGAGUACGGUCGCAAGACUGAAACUCAAAGGAAUUGACGGGGACCCGCACAAGCAGUGGAGUAUGUGGUUUAAUUCGAAGCAACGCGAAGAACCUUACCAGGUCUUGACAUCCCUCUGACCGGUCUAGAGAUAGACCUUUCCUUCGGGACAGAGGAGACAGGUGGUGCAUGGUUGUCGUCAGCUCGUGUCGUGAGAUGUUGGGUUAAGUCCCGCAACGAGCGCAACCCUUGAUUUUAGUUGCCAGCACUUUAAGGUGGGCACUCUAGAAUGACUGCCGGUGACAAACCGGAGGAAGGCGGGGAUGACAUCAAAUCAUCAUGCCCCUUAUGACCUGGGCUACACACGUACUACAAUGGCCAGUACAACGGGAAGCGAAGUCGCGAGACGGAGCCAAUCCUAUCAAAGCUGGUCUCAGUUCGGAUUGCAGGCUGCAACCCG